rnacentral:tRNA from 1 species
GGGGAUAUAGCUCAGUGGUAGAGCAUCCGGCUGCAGUCCGGCAGGUCCUUGGUUCAACUCCGAGUGUCCCCU